ACAAUGGAACUGAGACACGGUCCAUACUCCUACGGGAGGCAGCAGUGAGGAAUCUUCCGCAAUGGGCGAAAGUCUGACGGAGCAACACCGCGUGAAGGAUGAAGGUCGUACGAUUGUAAACUUCUUUUCUGAGGGAAGAAUUCUGACCGGUACCUCAGGAAUAAGCAUCGGCUAACUAACGUGCCAGCAGCCGCGGUAAGACGUAGGAUGCAAGCGUUAUCCGGAAUUAUUGGGCAUAAAGAGUUCGUAGGCGGUUUGUUAAGUUGGAUGUUAAAUUUUUGAGCUCAACUUAAAAAAAGUAUCCAAAACUGGCAAACUGGAGACUGGUAGAGGUAAGUGGAAUUCUGCACGUAGGGGUAAUAUCCGUAGAUAUGCAGAGGAACACCAAAAGCGAAGGCAGCUUACUGGACCAGUUCUGACGCUCAAGAACGAAAGCGUGGGUAGCGAACGGGAUUAGAUACCCCGGUAGUCCACGCCCUAAACGAUGAACACUAGGUAUUGGAGGUCUCGACCCCUUCAGUGCCGACGCAAAUGCAAUAAGUGUUCCGCCUGGGUAGUACGAGCGCAAGCUUAAAACUCAAAGGAAUAGACGGGGACCCACACAAGCGGUGGAGCAUCUGGUUUAAUUCGACAAUAAGCGAGGAACCUUACCAAGGCUUGACAUCCCGAGAAGAUCGCCGAAAGGUGAUUGUGCCGUUAGGAACUCGGUGACAGGUGCUGCAUGGUUGUCGUCAGCUCGUGCCUUGAGGUGUUCGGUUAAGUCCGUGAACGAGCGCAACCCUUGUCUCAAGUUGCAUAUUUCUUGAGAGACUGCCGGUUUCAAAUCGGAGGAAGGUAAGGAUGACGUCAAAUCAGCAUGGCCCUUAUGUCUUGGGCGACACAGGUGCUACAAUGGCCGGUACAAUGGGCAGCGAAGGAGCAAUCUGGAGCAAAUCCUCAAAACCGGUCCAAGUUCGAAUUGAAGGCUGCAACUCGCCUUCAUGAAGUUGGAAUCGCUAGUAACCGCAUAUCAGCCAUGGUGCGGUGAAUCAGUUCCUGGGUCUUGUACUCACCGCCCGUCAAGUCAUGAAAG
rnacentral:rRNA from 1 species